rnacentral:rRNA from 1 species
GACGAACGCUGGCGGCGUGCUUAACACAUGCAAGUCACGGGGGCCCGCAAGGGCAACCGGCGAACGGGUGCGUAACACGUGAGCAAGCUUCCGAUUAGUGGGGGAUAGCCGGCCCAACGGCCGGGUAAUACCGCAUACGUUCACUGGACGGCAUCGUCUGGUGAGGAAACCUCCGGGGCUAAUCGAGGCGCUCGCGGCCUAUCAGCUAGUUGGGGGGGUAACGGCCCACCAAGGCUAGGACGGGUAGCUGGACUGAGAGGAUGGCCAGCCACAUUGGGACUGCGACACGGCCCAGACUGCUACGGGGGGCAGCAGUGGGGAAUAUUGCGCAAUGGACGAAAGUCUGACGCAGCGACGCCGCGUGUGGGAUGAAGCUCUUCGGGGUGUAAACCACUGUUGCCCGGGACGAACCUCCCCUUUCGAGGGGACUGACGGUACCGGGUGAGGAAGCACCGGCUAACUCUGUGCCAGCAGCCGCGGUAAGAC